rnacentral:rRNA from 1 species
AUCCGUGAUUUUAGCGCAGAGGGUCCACCUGUUCCCAUUCCGAACACAGAAGUUAAGCUCUGCUGAGGCGACAAUACUUGCUUGGAGACGAGCCGGGAAGAUAGCUCAUUGCGGAUA